CCUUUGACGUUAGCGGCGGACGGGUGAGUAACACGUGGGUAACCUACCUAUAAGACUGGGAUAACUUCGGGAAACCGGAGCUAAUACCGGAUAAUAUUUCGAACCGCAUGGUUCGAUAGUGAAAGANGGUUUUGCUAUCACUUAUAGAUGGACCCGCGCCGUAUUAGCUAGUUGGUAAGGUAACGGCUUACCAAGGCGACGAUACGUAGCCGACCUGAGAGGGUGAUCGGCCACACUGGAACUGAGACACGGUCCAGACUCCUACGGGAGGCAGCAGGA
rnacentral:rRNA from 1 species